GAUGAACGCUAGCGGCAGGCUUAAUACAUGCAAGUCGAGGGGCAGCAGGUCCCGCAGCAAUGCGGGAUGCUGGCGACCGGCAAACGGGUGCGGAACACGUACAGAACCCUCCUUUAAGUGGGGAAUAGCCCGGGGAAACCCGGAUUAAUACCCCGUAUCAUAAUGGAGUGGCAUCACUUUAUUCUUAUAGCAGCAAUGCGCUUGAAGAUGGCUGUGCGGCUGAUUAGGUAGUUGGCGGGGUAACGGCCCACCAAGCCUACGAUCAGUAACUGGUGUGAGAGCACGACCAGUCACACGGGCACUGAGGCACGGGCCCGACUCCUACGGGAGGCAGCAGUAAGGAAUAUUGGGCAAUGGACGCAAGUCUGACCAGCCAUGCCGCGUGGAGGAUGAAGGUCCUCUGGAUUGUAAACUUCUUUUAUCUGGGAAGAAAUCUAUUUUUUCUAAAGUAGUUGACGGUACCAGAUGAAUAAGCACCGGCUAACUCCGUGCCAGCCGCCGCUGUAA
rnacentral:rRNA from 1 species